rnacentral:rRNA from 1 species
UGGGGAAUCUUGCGCAAUGCGCGAAAGCGUGACGCAGCAACGCCGCGUGGGGGAAGAAGGCCUUCGGGUUGUAAACCUCUUUCAGUUGGGACGAAGCCUUACGGGUUAAUAGCCCGUGGAGGUGACGGUACCUUCAGAAGAAGCCCCGGCUAACUACGUGCCAGCAGCCGCGGUAAUACGUAGGGGGCAAGCGUUGUCCGGAAUCAUUGGGCGUAAAGAGCGUGUAGGCGGCCCGAUAAGUCCGCUGUGAAAGUCCAGGGCUCAACCCUGGAAUGCCGGUGGAUACUGUCGGGCUCGAAUCCGGAAGAGGUGAGUGGAAUUCCUGGUGUAGCGGUGAAAUGCGCAGAUAUCAGGAGGAACACCAAUGGCGAAGGCAGCUCACUGGGACGGUAUUGACGCUGAGACGCGAAAGCGUGGGGAGCAAACAGG